AUUGAACGCUGGCGGCAGGCCUAACACAUGCAAGUCGAGCGGGGUUUUCGGACCUAGCGGCGGACGGGUGAGUAAUGCGUAGGAAGCUACCCGAUAGAGGGGGAUACCAGUUGGAAACGACUGUUAAUACCGCAUAAUGUCUACGGACCAAAGUGUGGGACCUUCGGGCCACAUGCUAUCGGAUGCGCCUACGUGGGAUUAGCUAGUUGGUGGGGUAAUGGCUCACCAAGGCGACGAUCCCUAGCUGGUUUGAGAGGAUGAUCAGCCACACUGGAACUGAGACACGGUCCAGACUCCUACGGGAGGCAGCAGUGGGGAAUAUUGGACAAUGGGCGCAAGCCUGAUCCAGCCAUGCCGCGUGUGUGAAGAAGGCCUUCGGGUUGUAAAGCACUUUCAGCGAGGAGGAAGGGUGGUGUGUUAAUAGCACAUCAUUUUGACGUUACUCGCAGAAGAAGCACCGGCUAACUCUGUGCCAGCAGCCGCGGUAACAC
rnacentral:rRNA from 1 species